AUCAGGGGCUUCUAUUUGUAUUUGUGGUGACCAAAUUUGUUCCACAUCCACUGCAGGAUCCAACAUUUGGAGAAAACUUCUCAUAGGUGGAGCGCCUGUUAUUGGUGUGUCAAUAUUUGCAAUUGCCAUCAUUUUCACAUGGAAGGUUCUACUCUUCAAGAACAAGAAAGAUCACGAAGUUGAGCAACUGAUAGGAAUCCUUGCUCCGAGAAGAUACCGAUAUAUGACAUUUGAAGAAAAUGACAAAAAUCAUUUUCAGAGAAACUUGGUCAAGGAGGAUUCGGUGAAGUGU